UAACAACAACACCGGAAGCUUCAACGGAAAGCUUUAGGAAACGUCGUCGAGAAUUUCACAUGGCCGAAUUCACAAUUGCUAGAAACGGUAAAAAAAUGUCG